GUGGGGAAUAUUGGACAAUGGGCGCAAGCCUGAUCCAGCCAUGCCGCGUGAGUGAUGAAGGCCUUAGGGUUGUAAAGCUCUUUUGUCCGGGAAGAUAAUGACUGUACCGGAAGAAUAAGCCCCGGCUAACUUCGUGCCAGCAGCCGCGGUAAUACGAAGGGGGCUAGCGUUGUUCGGAAUCACUGGGCGUAAAGCGCACGUAGGCGGACCAUUAAGUCAGGGGUGAAAGCCUGGAGCUCAACUCCAGAACUGCCUUUGAUACUGAUGGUCUCGAGUAUGGAAGAGGUUGGUGGAACUGCGAGUGUAGAGGUGAAAUUCGUAGAUAUUCGCAAGAACACCGGUGGCGAAGGCGGCCAACUGGUCCAUUACUGACGCUGAGGUGCGAAAGCGUGGGGAGCAAACAGGAUUAGAAACCCUUGUAGUCC
rnacentral:rRNA from 1 species